AUUGAACGCUGGCGGCAUGCUUUACACAUGCAAGUCGAACGGUAACAGGCCUUCGGGUGCUGACGAGUGGCGAACGGGUGAGUAAUGCAUCGGAACGUACCCAGAGGUGGGGGAUAACGCAGCGAAAGCUGUGCUAAUACCGCAUGUGAUCUGAGGAUGAAAGCGGGGGACCGAGCAGCAAUGUUUGGCCUCGCGCCUUUGGAGCGGCCGAUGUCGGAUUAGCUAGUUGGUGGGGUAAAGGCCUACCAAGGCGACGAUCCGUAGCUGGUCUGAGAGGACGACCAGCCACACUGGGACUGAGACACGGCCCAAACUCCUACGGGAGGCAGCAGUGGGGAAUUUUGGACAAUGGGCGCAAGCCUGAUCCAGCAAUGCCGCGUGCGGGAAGAAGGCCUUCGGGUUGUAAACCGCUUUUGGCAGGAACGAAACGGUGUCCGCUAAUACCGGGCGCUAAUGACGGUACCUGCAGAAUAAGCACCGGCUAACUACGUG
rnacentral:rRNA from 1 species